rnacentral:rRNA from 1 species
CACACUAUCAUUAACUGAAUCCAUAGGUUAAUGAGGCGAACCGGGGGAACUGAAACAUCUAAGUACCCCGAGGAAAAGAAAUCAACCGAGAUUCCCCCAGUAGCGGCGAGCGAACGGGGAGGAGCCCAGAGCCUGAAUCAGCAUGUGUGUUAGUGGAAGCGUCUGGAAAGGCGCGCGAUACAGGGUGACAGCCCCGUACACAAAAGCGCAUGUGCUGUGAGCUCGAUGAGUAGGGCGGGACACGUGGUAUCCUGUCUGAAUAUGGGGGGACCAUCCUCCAAGGCUAAAUACUCCUGACUGACCGAUAGUGAACCAGUACCGUGAGGGAAAGGCGAAAAGAACCCCGGCGAGGGGAGUGAAAAAGAACCUGAAACCGUGUACGUACAAGCAGUGGGAGCACCCUUUGGGUGUGACUGCGUACCUUUUGUAUAAUGGGUCAGCGACUUAUAUUCUGUAGCAAGGUUAACCGAAUAGGGGAGCCGGAGGGAAACCGAGUCUUAACCGGGCGUUAAGUUGCAGGGUAUAGACCCGAAACCCGGUGAUCUAGCCAUGGGCAGGUUGAAGGUUGGGUAACACUAACUGGAGGACCGAACCGACUAAUGUUGAAAAAUUAGCGGAUGACCUGUGGCUGGGGGUGAAAGGCCAAUCAAACCGGGAGAUAGCUGGUUCUCCCCGAAAGCUAUUUAGGUAGCGCCUCGUGAAUUCAUCUCCGGGGGUAGAGCACUGUUUCGGCUAGGGGGCCAUCCCGGCUUACCAACCCGAUGCAAACUGCGAAUACCGGAGAAUGUUAUCACGGGAGACACACGGCGGGUGCUAACGUCCGUCGUGAAGAGGGAAACAACCCAGACCGCCAGCUAAGGUCCCAAAGUCAUGGUUAAGUGGGAAACGAUGUGGGAAGGCCCAGACAGCCAGGAUGUUGGCUUAGAAGCAGCCAUCAUUUAAAGAAAGCGUAAUAGCUCACUGGUCGAGUCGGCCUGCGCGGAAGAUGUAACGGGGCUAAACCAUGCACCGAAGCUGCGGCAGCGACACUGUGUGUUGUUGGGUAGGGGAGCGUUCUGUAAGCCUGUGAAGGUGUGUCGUGAGGCAUGCUGGAGGUAUCAGAAGUGCGAAUGCUGACAUAAGUAACGAUAAAGCGGGUGAAAAGCCCGCUCGCCGGAAGACCAAGGGUUCCUGUCCAACGUUAAUCGGGGCAGGGUGAGUCGACCCCUAAGGCGAGGCCGAAAGGCGUAGUCGAUGGGAAACGGGUUAAUAUUCCCGUACUUGGUGUUACUGCGAAGGGGGGACGGAGAAGGCUAUGUUGGCCGGGCGACGGUUGUCCCGGUUUAAGCGUGUAGGUGUGUGUUCCAGGUAAAUCCGGUUCACUUUAACACUGAGGCGUGACGACGAGGCACUACGGUGCUGAAGCAACAAAUGCCCUGCUUCCAGGAAAAGCCUCUAAGCAUCAGGUAACAUCAAAUCGUACCCCAAACCGACACAGGUGGUCAGGUAGAGAAUACCAAGGCGCUUGAGAGAACUCGGGUGAAGGAACUAGGCAAAAUGGUGCCGUAACUUCGGGAGAAGGCACGCUGACACGUAGGUGAAGUGAUUUACUCAUGGAGCUGAAGUCAGUCGAAGAUACCAGCUGGCUGCAACUGUUUAUUAAAAACACAGCACUGUGCAAACACGAAAGUGGACGUAUACGGUGUGACGCCUGCCCGGUGCCGGAAGGUUAAUUGAUGGGGUCAGCGCAAGCGAAGCUCCUGAUCGAAGCCCCGGUAAACGGCGGCCGUAACUAUAACGGUCCUAAGGUAGCGAAAUUCCUUGUCGGGUAAGUUCCGACCUGCACGAAUGGCGUAAUGAUGGCCAGGCUGUCUCCACCCGAGACUCAGUGAAAUUGAACUCGCUGUGAAGAUGCAGUGUACCCGCGGCAAGACGGAAAGACCCCGUGAACCUUUACUAUAGCUUGACACUGAACAUUGAGCCUUGAUGUGUAGGAUAGGUGGGAGGCUUUGAAGUGUGGACGCCAGUCUGCAUGGAGCCGACCUUGAAAUACCACCCUUUAAUGUUUGAUGUUCUAACGUGGACCCGUUACCCGGGUUGCGGACAGUGUCUGGUGGGUAGUUUGACUGGGGCGGUCUCCUCCUAAAGAGUAACGGAGGAGCACGAAGGUUGGCUAAUCCUGGUCGGACAUCAGGAGGUUAGUGCAAUGGCAUAAGCCAGCUUGACUGCGAGCGUGACGGCGCGAGCAGGUGCGAAAGCAGGUCAUAGUGAUCCGGUGGUUCUGAAUGGAAGGGCCAUCGCUCAACGGAUAAAAGGUACUCCGGGGAUAACAGGCUGAUACCGCCCAAGAGUUCAUAUCGACGGCGGUGUUUGGCACCUCGAUGUCGGCUCAUCACAUCCUGGGGCUGAAGUAGGUCCCAAGGGUAUGGCUGUUCGCCAUUUAAAGUGGUACGCGAGCUGGGUUUAGAACGUCGUGAGACAGUUCGGUCCCUAUCUGCCGUGGGCGCUGGAGAACUGAGGGGGGCUGCUCCUAGUACGAGAGGACCGGAGUGGACGCAUCACUGGUGUUCGGGUUGUCAUGCCAAUGGCACUGCCCGGUAGCUAAAUGCGGAAGAGAUAAGUGCUGAAAGCAUCUAAGCACGAAACUUGCCCCGAGAUGAGUUCUCCCUGAGACUUAGA